rnacentral:rRNA from 1 species
AUGGUGACACAGAGGAGAAAUGCCAUGCUUCCAUCCGCCGGCGCCGACAGUUUCGGGGUUAAGGUUUUCGUGCUCGCGCACGCCUCCUUCCCGGACCUUGGUGACUUCCUCCGCUCCGCCUCUCCGGCCGCUCUCGUCAUCGACUUCUUCCGUGCCAGCGCCUUCGACGUCGGCGCCGAACUCGGCAUUCCGACCUACUUCUUCCUCACCACUUGCAUCUCCGUCGUCGCCUUUGGUCUCUACCAGCCAGCCAUGGAUGAGCAGACCACUCUGAGCUUCCGAGACCUCGGCGGCGACCUUGUGCACGCCCCAGGGUUGCCACCCAUACCGGCAAAUCACCUCCCCGCAUUCAGUCUCGAUCGCAACAGCUUGGCACCAAGUUGUUCAGGGACGUGCCCCACCAGCUGUGCAACUCACAAGGCAUUAUUGUCAACAACUGCCGCUCCUUGGAGCCCCGUGUCGUCGACGGCAUCGUCUCCGGCCUCUGCACCCCCGGACGGCCAACACCGCCAUUGUACUGCAUAG